AGUGGCGAACGGGUUAGUAACGCGUGGGAACAUACACAGCACAGGGGGAUAACCAUUGGAAACGAUGGCUAAUACCGCAUACGCCCUAAUGGGGAAAGAUUUAUCGGUGUUGGAUUGGCCCGCGUUAGAUUAGCUAGUUGGUGGGGUAAUGGCUCACCAAGGCGACGAUUUAUAGCUGGUUUGAGAGGAUGAUCAGCAACACUGGAACUGAGACACGGUCCAGACUCCUACGGGAGGCAGCAGUCGGGAAUAUUGUGCAAUGGGGGCAACCCUGACACAGCCAUGCCGCGUGAGUGAAGAAGGCCUUAGGGUUGUAAAGCUCUUUCAGAUGUGAGGAUGAUGACGAUAGCAUCAGAAGAAGCUCCGGCUAACUUCGUGCCAGCAGCCGCGGUAAUACGAAGGGAGCUAGCGU
rnacentral:rRNA from 1 species